rnacentral:rRNA from 1 species
UACGUAGGGACCAAGCGUUGUUCGGAUUUACUGGGCGUAAAGGGUGCGUAGGUGGUUGGGCAAGUCUGAUGUGAAAUCUCCGGGCUUAACCCGGAAAUGGCAUUGGAAACUGCCCGGCUAGAGUGUUGGAGGGGGGACUGGAAUUCUCGGUGUAGCAGUGAAAUGCGUAGAUAUCGAGAGGAACACCAGUGGCGAAGGCGAGUCCCUGGACAACUACUGACACUGAGGCACGAAAGCUAGGGGAGCAAACAGG